AGCACCAUGGCGCAGCGGAAGCGCGCCGGGCUCAUAACCCGGAGGACCUCCGAUCGAAACGGAGUGGUGCUA
rfam:Pestalotiopsis fici W106-1 unplaced genomic scaffold PFICI_Scf_3, whole genome shotgun sequence.